GCAUAAGGACAAUCUGUCCCCAGGGUUGAUUUAGCUGAUCUGGCUGGCCUAGGCUGGUGUCUCCUUCCUCCCUCACUGCUCCAUGGGCAUCCCUCACAGAGCUGCAUUUUCAGUUGAGAAAGACAACCUUACCCAACAGAGAAGGACCUGUCUUCAGUCAAGAGGAUACAAGUAUCUGUGCCCCCUGCUAGAACCAACAAACAAGCUCUCAAGACAGUAAUGCACUCGUGAGAAUGGGAGAGGAAUACAAGAGGUUAACAAGGGGUGAAUAUGCUU
rnacentral:snRNA from 1 species